GCACUUUUAGUAUAAUCCAGUAUAUUUGUCUUCCAAACAAAAGGUAUCCUAUCCGGAAAAAGUGUA
rnacentral:tRNA from 1 species